rnacentral:lncRNA from 1 species
AUUUAUAUCCCGAUAAAGGGAUGUUUUUAACUUUAUUCUUGAAAUUGUUUUCGAUAUAUUAUUCCAAGAAAAAAAUCUAAAUAUAUGAAAGAUGUUUUUAACUUCACAGGAUGCGACUAUUUUAAUUCUAUAAGCUUUUCUUAGGUUCAUAUUUAACUAGAAAAUCCGAUUUCCUCUAAAUUCACUAUAAAAAGCGGUUCUGAAGCGGAUUCCGAUAGAAGAAUAACUCAAGAGAUGAAAAUCAUCAUAGCUUGUCCGUUUACUCAGGGUGUCAUAUGCAUCGAAGUCAGCAACGACUUUAUAUUCGUCCAGUGGUUCCUUCAAGACCAAGUCCUACCGACGUACAUACAGACAUGGCGGCGCGGCGCCGACGUGGGCACUGGAACCACCGAAGACCCAUUUAUACUAAAUUACGAUAUUGGCAACUAUGUUCAAGAUCUCAACGCCUAUAGUAG